CGUCGGCAGACCCUUUUCACCGGGGCACGUGCCCCGUUGUGGAUCUGCGGUGCCUGGGUAUGCCUGGGGCACUGAUUUUUUAAUUAAUUAAUUUAUUUAUACCUUUAAUUUUUUUUUAUUUAAGUCUGACUCAUCUGGCAAUCUACAGAAUGCAUGCUAGCAUUUUUUUUUCUUAAAAUAGGCCUAUAGACUACCACUUUCGUUAGAAUUUAAGUCCGACAUACGGACAGAGUAAUUAGAAUCCACUUGCGGCCACUCGGAGCAUGUUGCAGCCGGAGAGUUGCCUGUAACACAGAGCCAGGAGUUGUCCAGCACAGCGUCAGCGACCAUUCACUCCGGCCGGCGUGAAGUGAAGUAAACAGUAAGCGUUACAUUUUUAUCCUCUGGAAGCAUAGAAUGUCUAACAAAUGUGUAUGCCUUUCAUCAAAUAAGGUGAAGGGGCGUCUCUGAAGUGGUGUUAUUAGCUAAUGUGGUCACGUCUGUCGUUAUGCUAUAGUAGCCAGACAGUUCGCUAAUAUAUUAAACUGUAGCGAUAACUGUUUAAGCUGGACCUGUUGAUCGGAGAAAGAUCACAAAUGUCGGGUUCACACUACAUGCCAUCUUAUGGUGUUUCUCGAUUCUUUACGUUCAUGUUUUCAGGGGGUGAUGAUCCCGUGAUGGGGUAUCCAAGUUGUCUUGUCAGCUUAGUUAGCUAGCUAUCGGCAUACUGUAUAAGACAUCUUCUCAAGUUGCCUGGAACCAAUGGCACCGAUGUUAUACUAGCGCAAUUUAUAACAGAAUACAACACUCGGAGGUGGAAGCUGUUUUGUACGCUGUUGCUUUUAAAAAUAGCCCAGUGCAUGCUUAAAUAAGCAGGCUGGCUUAAGCAGCUCAAGCACACGUUGGUCUCAAAGUUGAAAAUGAAUGAUUCUGAAAUUAUUCUCAUUCUGGUGUUUUCUGCUCGAGUAGGCCUACAGACAAAAGCACAGACAUUAAGGGGGCAUGAUGACAUACAGGUGGUUACUUUCAAGACAGUAGAAACAUAAUGUAGAAAAAACAAACAAUUGAUAGGUAUCAUUCAUAGCAUGCAUAUAGACGAAUGUCCUGUUUUUACUAUUCGUUUUUUUGGUGUGUCAGGUAUGUAGAAAGUUAUGGAAGAAGUAUGUUGUACUAGUAGGCUAUGUUAUUUUAUGAUCUUUUGCUGGCAUUGAAUUAUUUGUUAUCUCAGUGACCGGAACUAGAUAUAACAGCCUACUGUAUUAGUUAUGAUUUUGAUCUCAAUUCAACUCAAACAACAUUGUUCUUGUAGAUGGACAUCAGAAAGUUAUUCGCUCGGAGCAGGGAUAAAGCAGCAAGGAGAAAUGAGAGAGCUACGCUAGGUAACAAGGCAAUGCAAACCACUUUUAGGUAACAACCCAGUUGAGUUGACCACUGGUCACUAGCCCAAGCCUAACAGUUACAUAUCUGUCCAGACAAAGAGGAGCAGCAGAGUGCCGGAGGAGGUGACGGAGGAGUUGAAGGAAAAGGUGAAGGAGAGAGGGAUGUUGAUGAGCACGAGCAGAGACUCAGUGCAGCAGAGUGCAGAGGAGAGGAGCAGAUUGAAGGGACGCAGGUAGAGUUGGCAUUGAGAGAUGACACUGACAGACAGGAGAAUCAGAGGGCAGAAGAGAAUGAGCUGGUUGAGGCAGGGGAAAUGCAGAGAGAGAAGGAAGGACAACAGGAGACAGACAGGCCAGAGAGAUCACACCCCAGAUAUGAGACUGAGAAAACAGUUGCCACAGUGGCAGAGAACAUUAGACUGGGGGCAAGAGAAAAAAGCAGUGUCCACAAUGUUGAGGGACAUACAAGUGAUCUUGGGGGAAAGGAGUCUGGCCCAAACCAAGUUAAGUUGUCAAAAUAUCCCCAGCACAACUUUGGUGCCAAGAAUCGAUCCUUUAACGCCAACUGGUUUGAAAGCUUUACAUGGCUGGAAUAUUCCAAGUCUAAAGAUGCAGCCUUUUGUUUUCCCUGUAGAAUAUUUGGGAAACAUUUGAAGA